rnacentral:lncRNA from 1 species
GGAGGGUAAUAUGUAGACGAGCCUUACCCCUACCCGAAAGGGCAGGGAGGCUGUUUCCAAUCGGCCCUCGGCUCAUAGGAUUAGAGGAAAAACAGUAGUAAAACAAAAACAGAGACAAAAAUAAAAACAAAAACAAUAGAGCAUUAGUGCAUUAGAAAUUCCAGCAGAAAUAGCGUUAAUAAUAAUCUGAACAAAGGAAACAAAAAUACCAAAAUACAAUAGCAUGC